rnacentral:lncRNA from 1 species
GUUUUUAAAGGGGAAAAAUCAUGUAAAAGGUAGUUUCUCUAGAAAGUUGACAGCCGCUAGAAGAAUGAAUGUGCCUGGAAUAGAGAUGACAUCUUAAUCAUUGGUACUGAGGAGCUGUAAUGCCAGACUAUAGAAAGCUUAAAUAAAACUGCAGCUCUUUUUCUUUUAUUAAAGAAAGAAAGCCCAGGAGUACAAUGCCAGAACAAGAACUAAUUCUGGAAGCUUGCUGGUAUGAUAUUGUCAGUCACACCAGUGAUGUGGAUAAAAGCUUUUAGCACAUGAAUAAUUUCAGUGAAAGGGCUUUAUCACUUUUUAUUUGCUGGGCAUUUACAGGAGAAUAAACAUGCUGGUAUAUAUUAUAUAUGGAGUGAAAGUCAGCCGCAAAUGAAAGCAAAGACCCCCAGACCCAGUUACCAGAACAGACUAGGGUUGCUUAGCAACCAGGCAACUGGAGAAUUCUCUCUCCCUUUCUUUCCUUUGUUUUUAGAUUGCAGUAACCUUUGAUCAAUUUUGGCUCUACAACAAAAGCCUUGGAUAUUUUGAGAGAAGUGUAUCUGCUUAUUUGUAGUAACAAGGACACAGACCGUGACACCUAUUUCUGCCUCAGAUUUCAUGUUAAACAGCAGAACAGCUUCAAAUUCCUUUUAAAAAUCUUACUGCUGGUGGGCUGGGUUUCCGAUGAAUCGGAAGUUACAUAAUAAUUGCUUCAAAUUGCGCUAAAAGAUGUUUGCUGUCCGUCAGUCACCCUUGGUUCUUCUGCUCAUUGACCAGCUUUGGAAGCCUAGGUCUUGGUUCCAAAUCUACUUCCUGAGAAGCAGCAUCUGAAUCCCAAGUCCUAAAUCCUCCAGUUAGAGGAGACUUUAAAUGGUCAUUCCUUUCAAAGACAUCAUGGACUUAGGGAAUACUACACUGGAAGGGUUGUUCAAAUCAUCUUUUCUGGUUCCUUCUCUCUUUACAGAGUCUUUCAAUUCACUUCUUACAAGGCAACUUGCCAAUGUCCACAUGCUCUGCUACCAACCAAGAAAACUCACAGAUCCUUCUCCUCAGGGAGCUUUAAAGGGUCUUCUCUCAGCCCGAGACAAGUGGGGUUAAUGUGAACAGUUCAAUUCCUUUCCUCUUUAAAAACAAAGGUGAAGAGGAAUCUCUGGCCCCAGAUGCCUCUUCGUCUUGGAUCAGCUUUGGAGUACACAUUGCCUGGAUGAGCAACGCUAGUUUCAUGACCUCUCCAUGGCUCAGUUUAAAUGAGUGUAAUUCCCACAAGAAUUUUGGAAUAUAGCUGCAAAAAGAAUAGAUUCUAGGUGUAAAAAGAAUGGCCUUGGUGUUACUCUCCCAACAUUGUCUAAAACACCCAGUUAUGGCAACAUCCUUUGACGUCUAAGGACCUUAGGCACAGGAUAAAGAAAAUCAUUUUUCCAAAUCAGCUUGCUGAGUACUGCUGGGAUCUGGAAGGGUUGGAGGUCUGUCUUGUUCACACCCCAGUUUGCUUCUCUGAAGUCCCACAUCUAGGUGCGUCUUCAGUGUGCUUUACGUUGCAGGCACAUCGCAGCUCUUUGCACUUCGCUGAAAAGAGGAUGAGCAACGCUCUCCCGCCCUACAGAUCCUCAAAGUUCAAGCCUAUUCUUGUUAGGCUGGCGUCUAGCACCUGUCACUUGCCUCCCUGUCCUCAGUUACUCCCACCCGAGCAACUGCCUGGGCGGGGAAGCACUUUGAACUUAAACUGUCUUUCUGUUUGCACCUUCAGUUGAGCUUUAAUUGCAGUUCUCCACCUGCUUCUGCACUCCAGGAAACCCCUGGGAACCCUCUCAUGGCUCAUUUAGAACCUGAAGAAUCUUAGGGAGGCUGGUCAAAAACUCAGGGGCCUGAGAAAGAAGAAUCCGCCAUGUAUUUCUUUGCAGCUUGCCACCAACUCCCUAGCGAGCUGAUUCCUGCUUCUGUGAAUAGGUUAACACCAGUGAAAUUGCAUUUUAAUUAUUAUCACUUUCCUUUUCAGGAGGAUUUAGGAUUAUGAGGCUACUGUUGCUAAAACACGUUCUCUCUUCCCUUGCUGCAAAAGGAGUUGAAAGUCAGAAACAAAUAGGUCAGUGGAACAGUGGAGCUGUUGAAAAGCUCACAGUCACACAGGGUAGUCACACAGGGCCAUGGUUAUGAGUAGUUGGGGUAAAUAUUUUACAGCUGGGACUGUUCCAUUCUAAGGCCUCAAAAUUUAUAGUAAACCUAA